CAGCCAAAUGAUCAUUACCACCUGAGCUCCACCUCCUGUCAGGUCAGCAGUGGCAUUAGAGUCUCAUAAGAGUAUGAACCCUAAUGUGAACUGCGCAUGCAAGGGAUUUAGGUUGCACACUUAUUAUGAGAAUUUAACUAAUGCCUCAUGAUCUGGGGUGGAACACUUUCAAUACCGAGACCAUCUCCCCCACCCCUGCCCCCUGUCUGUGGAAAAACUGUCUUCCAAAAAAACCACCCCUGGUGCCAGAAAGGUUGGGGACUGCUGGCUUAAAUAACAGAAAUUUAUUUCAUCACAAUUCUGGAAGUUAGAAGUUUUAAAUUCACUCCUUGGCUUAUAAGAUGGCCAUCUUCUCCCUGUAUCUUUUUAUGACCUUCCUCUGUACCUGUCUGUGUCCUAGUUUCUUCUUCUUAUAAAGACACCAGUCAUUGGAUUAGGUCCCGUCCAUGUGACCUCAUUUUAGCGUAAUCACUUUAUUAAAGACCUAUUCUCCAAAUACUAUCCCAUUCUGAGGCCCUGGGAGUUAAGGGUUCUGACACACGAAUUUUGGAGGAACACAAUGCAGCCUGUAACAUUCAUUGCACACGCAGUGAGCAUGGGAGCUAAACUUUAUGGAUUGUGGGAACCUACCUGGAAUUUUUAAUCUUCAGUAACAUAAAGGUAGAAGAGACGACUGCAGUUCAUUCAUCCCAGAGGAAAGGUCUGAUAAGAUGCUGUCUGCUAGAAAAAUAUUCCUAAUCUUCCUGAUUCUCAUCCCUCCAAAGCUAUCUUGGCUUCUGGCUCUUUCCAAGAUAAGUGUUUCAAACCUGAUUCUGUGAGUUCCCGAUAGCCUUGUAAUAAAUUCCUUUUGUUUGAACUAGCCAGGAUCAGUGUCUAUUUUCUGCAACUAAGAACGCUAUUUGAUACAGUAUUUUAAAGACUUUUUCAAAAACCAUCUCGAUUUGUGCUCACUGACCUCUGAGUAUGUUGGGGUUCACCACCCCCAUGAGAGGUCCUCAGAAGACACCAAAGCUGAUGGGAGAUCUCCAUAAAUAUAGUUUUGGGGCUUAGAGAGUUGAAUUUUCACUCAUAGGUCAGCAUUUGAAAGGGAAAAAAUGCCAAUUCAAGGGUAAAUGGAACAUGGACACAAUCUCUGACUUUGGAUAAAUGGUUCCUCUGGAUUUUAAGUCAGACUGACCACAUUUCCUGGUUUGCUUGAGACAGCCCUGUUUCAUGCUACUUUUCCCACAGUAAUUAUUGAUAGUGUCUCAUCCAUCCCCAAAUGUAUUCCAAUGUGGCCACCCUAUUUUAAGUGUGUCACGGCCACUGAUGUAUCCCUAGUAUCCAGAACAGAGCCUGGUAGAAAGUAGGUGUUCAAUAAAUAUUCUAUUAAGGAAAGAAUGGAUAAAUCAAUGAAAGGGGCCUUGCCCCAUUAUCAGCUACAGAUGCACAUUUAAAUAUUUAUUUUUCUUCUACUUGUGCCUCCCACUGGUCUAUAUCAUCAAGCCAAGAGGUUUUGGAAGGACAGCAUCUCCUUAUGGAGAGCUCCUAGACACAAAGGAGACAUGUGUUUGGAGACUUGCCAUAUUCCUGUUAGCACCCAUGGACAUGGUGGCUGCCUCUUUAAAGAGGAUGGAUUUCAAGACAAGGUGUGAAGCCCACCUGUUAUUAAAAAGCCUGCCAAGAUCUGAGCUCCACUGGGUUCAGUGUUCCUUCUCCCCAUACCUGCCCUCCCCACGCAUAUUGCCUGGAUGAGGCUCCAACUUGAUCAGUAGGCAACCAACAUGCCACUAAUUAGGAGGCACAAGGCAUAGCGGAGGAUGAUUAGCUCAUGAUGAGCACACGCUGCCUAGAGUUGCCUUGUUACUAUUAUAAAUAGAUUAGAAAUCUGGGGAGCAUCUGCAUUUCCCCUCACAGAGGAGACUCUGAAAUUGACAAGUUGAAAUGCAAAUGUGUCAAGCAGAGCUUCAUAAUUGACAAAGAUUAACUUUAUUUCUCUAGACCCAUCUCUCCCUUCUUCUUCCUUUGAUACCUCCUCCCUUGACAAGUCCUGGUUGCCAAUGAAAGAAACCCAGCAAUUCUCCAAUUGAACCAUAAGAUUUUGGAAGGACAGUGCAAGAAAACCAUUCUGGCACUCCAAGGACCAGAUGUGUUGUUUAUGGAGACAAUUAUGUGCUUCCCAGAUGGGAGUUCUCCUAAUACUGCCAUACUUCUGGAAUUGGCAAUGUGCUUUUCACACCUCUGGAAAUCAAAACAAGCCAGCAAGGCGGGCCAUGAAGUGUUUUCCUUUUACGAAUGAGAUAGCUCAUUGAGCGACUCUCAAAGUUGCAGCUGUUGCCCAGGAAGAAAUGAGCAAAUUUGGAAGCUGUUCUCACUUCUGUAGAUUAAGAUCCAUGGAACUUUAUCACGUAUUUGAAACACUAAAGAAAUAAGAAGAAACAUCCAACUUACAGCCCUUAUUCUGGGUGCCCAGUUUACAUUUCCUUAUUUACCUGGUGAAGAAGAGCCACUAAUAAGCAAAGAACCAAAAAACGACAUUUGCUGUCGGUUUCAUGCAUCGAACAGCUGGAAGAAGGAAAAAAAACGGACACAUGUUGUUUUUCUCCUUUUCAUUGCUCUUGCUUAAUAAGUCUUCAUACCUGACUUGGCAUUCCAUCAUCUCUACCACUCAUUGGGAACUCAUAUCAAACUCAAAGACCUUGCAAUUACCAAGACCUUUGCUCAGAGGUCCCAGCCAUAUAUAUGUGAAUGAAAAACUUUGACAUGGGUUCAAAUAGGUCAUUUAGUGAAAGCGCUCCAUGGGGCAGUGGAAAAUGAAUAGGCAGAGUAAAUCAGAUUAUUGUUUCCAAUUAUAGUACCUAGUACCAGAGUAGAAAGAAUCUAUUUCUCUAGCCAUGGAGGUUGGACUUGGCUGUGUGAUUUUCUUUAGUCAACGGAAUGUGGAUGAAGAUAAAUAAAGUGACCAUUUUGAGCCCAGGCCUUAGAGACAUAGGGUUGUUCUACUGGCCUCACCUGGAAUUCUACAAUCCACCAUGAAAAAACAUGCCCUGGGUAGCUGCAGUUCCAGGAUGAUGAUAAUUCAUGGAGCAGACUCAAACUACCUGAAACCUCCUUCCAGAUCAGACCAGCAGAGCCUGGUCAGUCCUGAUAUGUUCAGCCAAACCAGAGCCAACCUAAAGAUUCAUGAGCAAAAACCAAGCAUCUGUUGUUAUAAGCCAUUCAUUGUUUUCCAUGUAGCAUCACUGUAGCAAUAGUUUACAGACACAGUGGAUAAAGAAAACUCCCCAAAGAGAAAACUCAGCCACGUAUGUAGCUUUGAU
rnacentral:lncRNA from 1 species